AACGAACGCUGGCGGCGCGCCUAAUACAUGCAAGUCGAGCGUAGAAGACGUAGCAAUACGUUUGUAAAGCGGCGAACGGGUGAGGAAUGCAUGGGUAACCUACCCUCGAGUGGGGAAUAACUAGCCGAAAGGUUAGCUAAUACCGCGUACGCUCCUUGGACUUCGGUUCAGGGAGGAAAGCCGAUACCGUGGGUAUCGCGCUCUUGGAUGGGCUCAUGUCCUAUCAGCUUGUUGGUGAGGUAACGGCUCACCAAGGCUUCGACGGGUAGCUGGUCUGAGAGGACGAUCAGCCACACUGGCACUGCGACACGGGCCAGACUCCUACGGGAGGCAGCAGUAAGGAAUAUUGCGCAAUGGGCGAAAGCCUGACGCAGCGACG
rnacentral:rRNA from 1 species